rnacentral:lncRNA from 1 species
UGUUGGAAUUAUGUGUCCUGCAACUAUAUUCAAAUUACUAGGAAUUACUAAUAUUUGGAAUACCUCAUUAUGGAAUUGUACAUGUAUUUAUACAUGGAAUUGAUUUACAUGUUUAGCAUGGAAUUGUUACUUGCUGGAAUGUACUUAAGUGAUAUAUGCUUAAGGAAGCUGGUCGAUUAUCAGUGGAAUACAAUAUACUAUUUAUAUUGGAAAGACUACCCGGGUACACUGAUGAUUGGAAGGAGCUAGAUCAUAUAGUUAGAUUACAGCCCUAACGUUGAUCUACGUAAUUAGAGGAAUUUACACUCUAUUAUGGCGCGUUGCUCACAAGCGCGUGCUCCGGGGACAUAACGGGUAGAAUCCGUUAACAGACAAAUAUGAUCGUGGUUGGUAAUUUGAUCUGGACUCUAUCCCGGAAACUAGUGGAAGAAAAACUAGGAAUCUUAUAUCUGUAUAAGAGGUGGACUCUUUGGAAAGACAGUAUAAGAAGGUCCCUACCCCCUAGCCUCAGAGAUGCGAAUUGUGAGCGGCACCACGGAUAAGCGCAGAGGAAUUAGGGGUAGACCGCAAACCCUACAAUUCCCAACAUUGGCAUCUGAGCUAGGUUCACCGCCGCCGAUGCUGAUCGGCCAUGCUCUCAUGGUCUCUGUGCGGUGCGUGAUUAAAUCCGCUGCGUACUCUGCGCCGAUCGUCUUCCGCGGUUGUCCGUUUCAAUCUCCUCCCCGUCACAUCGAUCUAACACAGGUCGAGAAAGAAUAUAAUAUCCGCUCCUAGUAGCUCGGUGAUACGUGUUUAUCAAACUCCCGUCGUCGUGCACACGAUCGUGCAAGUACUGGCAGCGCCCUGACUACGCACUGAAUUUUCUUCACCUGAUGCUCUUUAUGGUCACGGUCCAUCAAUCCAAUAGCACAGGUCUCGUGGAAGAUUGCUUUAUUGCUUUCUGAAGUCGCACACUGAUCGAGGUCAUCUAGUCCUAAUGCUUCUGCCUUUGCACUUGGAACGAGGAAAUCAAGGGGCAAGCCUAGCUCACGUGGAAGAUCAAGAAAGAUUGGAAAGGAAAGGACAUGCAAUUUUUAAUUCACAUGGAUCAAGGAAAGAAUUAAGUCAAGCCUAGCUUUGCUACGUACGGGCUGUCUAGGAAUCAAUCAGGUUGCCGCUGCUACAAAAUUUUCACUCGACGAUUGGCAAUCCGCACGAGCAACUGCUCAGAAAGUGCAUUAGUUGAAGGAAGGAGAAGGAUUUUGUUGUUGUUGUUUAUUGGGCCUACCAUCUGGCCAACUGCACGGCCAACCGGACGGCUGGAAGAUCCACUUGCACCUGUACAGGCGUGCUACAAGGGAAGGGACGCUAAUUACAAAUCCAACUAGUAUCUAUUAAUUAAUUUAUUAUAUUAUAUUAUAUGUUGAUUAACAGACUAACUUGUUUGAUUCCUAAUCUACUGCAUGUACGUCAUACAAGGAAAAUAAGUCCACUCCUUGGAAGAACUUAAGGAGGACUCUGGGUUAAAUGUGUGGAUGCACUGCACGGAGCAAAUGAUUACAUUGAAAAUUUCUAUGGUGGAAAUAUUGUCAGGAAAAUUACACAUAACCUGGAAAGGGAUUUCGGAGAAGUGUCAUUAUUGAGCAUCACUUAUUCAAAGAGGAAGCUGGGGGUCACUUCAGGAAACUUGCUCUUCAUUUAUCGGUAUGUCUGAUGUUAAUGUUUGCACUAUAUUUUUAUUUGUGGCUAUUUCUUUUAAAAAUAGAUGGAGUAUGGUGUUUGUUUAUAUACAUCAUGUAUAUUGGAGUACAAUAGCAAUUUUAUUGGCAUGCAACAAUUCCGAAGGGAAAACUAAUGUACUUAGGAAUUAAUUGUGAAUUUGAUAUACUUUGGAUUGGAAAUUAUGCCAUCAAACUCCUUUUGUGGAGGAAAACUAUUAUUGUUAUAGGACAGGCUAUUCAACUUCAGUGAGAAGGGAUUUAAUCUAUUGCUCCAUCUUGGAACCUAUUGAUUAUGACAUACUAUUUGGAAAAGGGAGAGUGGAAAUAUUGCUCAAUGGUUAAAUUAGUGCAUUAUGAUUUUCACACAAUGGUCCAUCUUUCUUGAUGUCCAUUGGAAGUUGGUAGACCAAUUUUUUUUUAUUGGGCAAAGAUUACUCCAUAUGGAGGAAUAUCGACAAUGGGAACACAUGCUUGGAAUCUUAUCAUCUACACCAUCAAUGACUUGGUCACAAAUCUUGGAACUGGAUCAAGAGGCUUAUUGAUUCUGGAAUUUUAAACUUUAGUGGAAGGACUAAUGAUACAUGUGAAGCAUAUAUGUGUUUUUUUAAUACACCUUGUUUAUUAAGGUGGAAGGAGAUGAAAGGGCUUCACAUCGUUUCCUUUUUAUAUACUUACGGUAUUUCUUUGGACAUCCCCACUAGAGGUCACAUUGUUUAUUUCAUCUCACUCUUCCAUGAUUACACUUUUACAUGGUUAUGCUUAUAUUUUAUUAUACAAGUCGGAAGGUUUUAUUGUGCUGGUCACAUGUUAUACUGAAGUGGAAAAUCAGUUGAUUAAAUAAUAUCAUAGUUUUAACAACCGAUUGGUGGGGGAAGUACACUUUAGGAAUAUAUCGUUUGUAUGUAAAGAGCAUGGAAUUAUUCACCAUUGUUAUAUACCGUACACUCCACAAUUGAAUGGAGGAAUUGACUGUCUUGUAUACGAAAGAAGCAUUGUGUACUGUCAUUUGUUGUAUCUUUCUCCAUCUAGUACAGUCACUUGGCUGGAAGGAAAUAUUCUAUUUUGGCAUGAAAUUCACAGUUAUUACAAAGCGCACACCAGGAAUUUUUUCAUGGUUCUUCUAGUGGAUCAAAGGGUGUUCCCUUAGUUAUCUGGAAAAUGAAUACUGGUGGAAAGUAGGAACACAAUCAUUUUUAUCAUCAAGGGUGGAAUUAUUGACAAUCAUACUGGAAUAUAAUCUUGACCCCAAGGAAACUACAAGUGACACUCCCAACAUGACAUGCUUAGGAUAAGUGGGAGGAAUUAACUUGGAAUGUAAUCUCUGGAUAAUUGUUAUAUGAUUUUGGGGGGGGAAGUCACUCUAAAUACUAGAGGAAAACUCCUAAGAAGGAUUAAAUUUUUCAACAUUGUGUUAAUAUGAUUGUUGAUCCCUUGACUAAGCCUCUUAGUCAGGAGGUAUUUGGCAAGCAUGUUAAGGCUAUGGGUUUACGAAUAUUUGAAUGGUCGUUUGGGACAAGUGGGAGAUGUUGGAAUUAUGUGUCCUGCAACUAUAUUCAAAUUACUAGGAAUUACUAAUAUUUGGAAUACCUCAUUAUGGAAUUGUACAUGUAUUUAUACAUGGAAUUGAUUUACAUGUUUAGCAUGGAAUUGUUACUUGCUGGAAUGUACUUAAGUGAUAUAUGCUUAAGGAAGCUGGUCGAUUAUCAGUGGAAUACAAUAUACUAUUUAUAUU